ACACUGUAAACGAUGAGCACUAGGUGUCGGGGGAGAAAUUCCUCGGUGCCGCAGUUAACGCAUUAAGUGCUCCGCCUGGGGAGUACGUACGCAAGUAUGAAACUCAAAGGAAUUGACGGGGACCCGCACAAGCAGCGGAGCAUGUGGUUUAAUUCGAAGCAACGCGAAGAACCUUACCAGAACUUGACAUCCCUCUGAAAGCCUUGAUAAUGAUAGGCCCUCUUCGGACAGAGGUGACAGGUGGUGCAUGGUUGUCGUCAGCUCGUGUCGUGAGAUGUUGGGUUAAGUCCCGCAACGAGCGCAACCCUUGCUGAUAGUUGCCAUCAUUAAGUUGGGCACUCUAUUGGGACUGCCGGGGAUAACUCGGAGGAAGGUGGGGAUGACGUCAAAUCAUCAUGCCCCUUAUGUUCUGGGCUACACACGUGCUACAAUGGUCGGUACAAAGAGCAGCAAUCUCGUGAGAAGGAGCGAAUCUCAAAAACCGAUCCCAGUUCGGACUGUAGGCUGCAACUCGCCUACACGAAGUUGGAGUUGCUAGUAAUCGUGGAUCAGAAUGCCACGGUGAAUGCGUUCCCGGGUCUUGUACACACCGCCCGUCACACCACGGAAGUUGGGGGUGCCCAAAGUUGGACAGAUAAUAGUUUACCUAAGGCAAAACCGAUGACUGGGGUG
rnacentral:rRNA from 1 species